UACGGUAGGGAGCAAGCGUUGUCCGGAAUCAUUGGGCGUAAAGCGCGCGUAGGUGGCCAUGUAAGUCCGACUGUCGAAAGUCAAAGGCUCAACCUUUGAAAGCCGGUGGAUACUGCAUGGCUAGAGUACGGAAGAGGCGAGUGGAAUUCCUGGUGUAGCGGUGGAAUGCGCCAGAUAUCAGGAGGAACACCAAUAGCGAAGGCAGCUCGCUGGGACGUUACUGACGCUGAGACGCGAAAGCGUGGGGAGCAAACAGG
rnacentral:rRNA from 1 species